AUGUGCGGGAACCUGUCUUCAAUUUCUUCAAACUUCUGGUGGGGUGAAACAGAUGGUAAUAAGAAAGUGCACUGGGUCGGAUGGGAUAGGAUGUGCAUGAGAAAGCAGGAAGGGGGACUUGGCUUUAGAGACCCGGAAGCCUUCAAUCAAGCUAUGCUUGCUAGACAAGCUUGGCGUUUGCUUCAGGUGCCGGAAUCUUUGUGUGGCCGGGUUUUAAAGGCGAGGUAUUUCCCUGACGGGUCGAUCUUAAAUGCCACAUGCCCAGACGGGGGUUCAUACAUGUUCCGGAGCAUUUUACACGGUCGUGACGUGCUCAACGAUGGUCUGAUUUGGCGGAUAGGAGACGGAUCGCAUAUAAAGAUUCACCACGACAAUUGGCUGCCGAGGAAUGGAAGUUUUAAGCCACUGGGCUAA
rnacentral:rRNA from 1 species